UAUGCUCAAGGAAUUCCUCCUGCUCUAAUUUGUAGGUGCUGAUGUGAUCGUCAGCAAGACUUCCAAAAAGCAGUAAUCUCCAUAUGUGGCUCGUUGGCCCUGGGGAAAUAAGAGCUAAAUUCGUCUAAGAGUGAAAUACUGAGCUCGGGCAAAAGCUGCAGCAAAGUUCGUGAUGUACCGGCAACCAGACAGGAUCUAUUUUAUCAGGUUAAGAGACAAAGGAAGGCCACAAGAGAGAGCUGGGAUGACACAAAAUGUCACAUAAUGCUAUCUCAGUUCCACAUCUGUCACCUGGUGCUGGCUCUUAUCUCAUGUGGACCAUCUACCCAUAAGCAGGAAAUGAAGAACAGAGAAUGGAAGCAUACCAAAUGCACUGACACUGAGAUAAAAAGAUGAAGAAAAAUAACUAACAGAGCAGCCAACAAAAUCCCAAGAUCAAAUAAAUUGUCCAUCUAUCUUCACUGGAUAAGAAACCAGUAUUUGUCAUCUUGUCAAAACAUUAACAAGAAUCAAUGGAUGCACA